rnacentral:rRNA from 1 species
UCGGGAAUAUUGGACAAUGGGCGAAAGCCUGAUCCAGCCAUGCCGCGUGUGUGAAGAAGGUCUUCGGAUUGUAAAGCACUUUAAGUUGGGAGGAAGGGCAUUAACCUAAUACGUAAGUGUUUUGACGUUACCGACAGAAUAAGCACCGGCUAACUCUGUGCCAGCAGCCGCGGUAAUACAGAGGGUGCAAGCGUUAAUCGGAAUUACUGGGCGUAAAGCGCGCGUAGGUGGUUUGUUAAGUUGGAUGUGAAAUCCCCGGGCUCAACCUGGGAACUGCAUUCAAAACUGACUGACUAGAGUAUGGUAGAGGGUGGUGGAAUUUCCUGUGUAGCGGUGAAAUGCGUAGAUAUAGGAAGGAACACCAGUGGCGAAGGCGACCACCUGGACUAAUACUGACACUGAGGUGCGAAAGCGUGGGGAGCAAACA